UUUGCUGAAAUCAUUCUUAAUGUUUCUUGUUCCUCAAUUUUGAAGUAAAAUGGUCAAUGAUCACCUCCAGAACCCUUCUAAUCCAUAUUUCCUUCAUCUUAAUGAAAAUCCCGCCCUUGUCUUAGUCUCACCUGUUCUUUUUGGUUCUAAUUACCUCUCAUGGGCCAGAGCCAUAAAGAUGGCGCUAAUUUCAAAGAACAAAAUGGUGUUUGUUAAUGGUUCAAUGCCUCCACCAUCACAGACUGAUCCAAGGUACUCAACCUAGGAGAGAUGUAACACCAUGAUUCUGUCUUGGAUCACAAAGUAUAUUGUGGAUUGAUAAGGCAUCUGAUGUAUGGAGUGAUUUGCAAGAUCGUUUCUCUCAAGGAAAAAUAUUUUUCACAGAAGAAUUUCAAUUGACUGAUGUGUUAUACAUACCAAGUUUCAGGUUUAACUUGAUUUCAGUUUGGCAUGUAGCUUACAUUUUGAAGGCAAUACUUGUGUUAUCUAGGAUUACCUCACAUCGAAGAGGAUUGGUACAGCUGAAGUUCAAGCUGGUCUCUAUAUCUUGACUUCUCCAACAAUUUCUCAUCUGGUGAAUUCUAUCUGUGCUAUUACUGCUUCUACUACUGUAGUACCACAUGUCUCAUUUCCGAUGGAGCUUGUAUGGCAUUAUAGACUUGGGCACUUAUCAAACCCAAGGUUACUUGAAAUUUUUAAGAUUUUCCUUUUGUUCAAUGUAAUUCAAAUACUAUGCCUUGUGAUUGCUGUCAUUUGGCAAAAUAAAGGAAACUAUCUUUUCCAAUAA